CUCCUGGAGCGUUUUCUGGGACCUGGGGUGAGGUCAGUGCACGCAGACCGGGUCUCUUCCGGUAGCAGCAAUGUGGGGCGCCAUCAGCACUUUGACGUGGGGACCCUAUUGGCCUGGAGAGGACAAGAAUUCGGCUCAAGCCUGGAAGACGAUGUGGUGGGGAUCCCUCAGGGUACAUCAGAGAACCUUGGUGGCUCUCCUUCAGGUGUUGGAUGGAGAUGAACUACAGUUUGAUUAAAAAAUCUGAGCCCGACUGGUCUGAAUGUGGCCAGUGGAGACCCUGAUGCUGGAGUUGAUGGCGCUCAGGUUGAACCUGAUGUGCAGGUAAAUGAGGCUUAAUAUGUGAUAGCUGUUACUAUGACAUAUAAGUGAGAAAAGAAUCCAUGUUAAUAAAAAACCACAGUCAAUGUUGCAAUAGCAUCUACAAAUUGUUUUAUUUAUGGGUCAUUACCAAAUCAUAGUGUUCUCAUUUUCUUCUGCCAACAAAGCAUUGUAUUCCAAAAUGGAAAUGAAAUAAUAUAAAUUGCAUAUAAACAGUGAGUUCCAUCUAGAUAUGUUUUUUUCCAAUUGUGCAACAUUCUUAAAACAGAAUUUAAUAAAAGGUGUUUUUUCCUAAACAGACACACUAGUAGUGAUUGCAGAAAAUGAAGAAAGAGUACUGAACUGAUAAAAGGUGUCAUCUUCCACCUUCCAUGGAAUUCUGAGUGUUCUUUUGUCCACUCUUUAUAGUGACAUCCAGAUAAAGUGUGGCACUUAAGGGGCUUUUGAAUUCCAGGAUAGUGUCAGUAUGGUUUAUAAAGUAAUUAAACACAGGAAUUAAGCCAGAAAACUUGAAACCUGAAACUGAAACGUGAAAUUGGUAAUAAAGGUAGCGUCACAUGUCAUGGCCCUGCCUUUCUGGUCACAUGUGCCAGUAAAAUCCGCAGCCUUGAUUGCUGGUCACCUACCGCCGAAAAUGGCAGGGCCUCUCUCAUUCCCGCUUCCCGUGGACUGUCCCUUCUGACACAGGACUGGUGGUCUGGUUUGCU